GAUCCUGGCUCAGGAUGAACGCUGGCGGCGUGCUUAACACAUGCAAGUCGAGCGAAGCACUCUGCUUUGAUUCUUUCGGGAUGAAGAGCAUUGUGACUGAGCGGCGGACGGGUGAGUAACGCGUGGGUAACCUGCCUCAUACAGGGGGAUAACAGUUAGAAAUGGCUGCUAAUACCGCAUAAGACCACAGCACCGCAUGGUGCAGGGGUAAAGACUCCGGUGGU
rnacentral:rRNA from 1 species